rnacentral:lncRNA from 1 species
CUUCAGAUCCUUUGCUCCGAGCCCGUCUCCGGAAAUGGAAAACACGAGGGAAACCAUGUUUGUACUGCUCUGAGAACUGAAAGGCUCAAAUGAAAGCAGGGUUUACCUCUUUUGGAGAUGAAGACUACUAGGGUUGUCGGCUUGCUUUCGUGGUAGACACACUGUGGGCGCAGUCGGCUGGAUCGAGAAGGCACUCACUCAGAUUCACAGCAAAGAAGAUGACUAUCCGCGUCAAAAACGUGUCUGGUCUCGCGAAAUUUUCGAGGCAGGAAAGCCUUGAAUCCCCAGAGCUAUCCUGUCUUUUUACAGGGUAGAGAAGUCCUGCACCUGUGCGUGCAAGGAUUAAACGGUGUUGCCUCUUCCGGAAACAGCUUCGCCACAUUCUCUUGCGUGAGCGUACCCACUUCAUGCUCUUGCAUCCUUGAUCGCAAACGUAUCCGUUCUUGUCCAUGUGAAGGCAUUGCUUGUUUGAAAUUGCUGCUGUACGCAACCCAACAAGCGCUUAAUCGUACAAACGUGUUCCCGACAACGCCAAAGAUGAGCGGAAGAGUCCAGCACGUUUUCAUUGACCGUUGCGGUUUGGAAGUCGACCACGUGAACCACUGGACUGAAGUCGACUCUUCGAGCUAAGAAUGCAGUACCACGUUCCUCCCUCCCCCUGGAGCUAGCCAGGCGCACAACAUUGGAGAGUAUUUCAGAGCGAGAACUCUAUACCGCCGAGGAUGUUUUCAGCGAGACAUAGGGAAGUGACGAGUCGCAUGGAGAAUUGUGAGACAUGGCUGGCGAGGACAGAGAUGAAAUCGACGGAAGGGACGCAGUCGUCGGCCCCGGCGUCACCGACUCUGUUGUUGCUUGCUUCAUGAAACUUUGCGUGAGGCGUCAUGUAAGUCUUGGAGCGCGGUCACCGAUUUUCGCUCCCUACACGAGAUGUGCGUGUAUCGUAAAGUCAGCAAACACGCAUGUGGGUCCCUUUCUAGCGUAAGCAGACGUUGUCGGAAGGGAACGCCUUUACCCCGAAACUACCAGCAAUCCAGUGAUGUUCCUGGAAAUGUAUCUAAGUGAGUUUUCUGUUCGUUUUUCUGCAUAGUUAUCAGAAGCCUCCGUAGGCCUGACGCAUAUCUGGGGAUCAAGAAAUCUUAGCAGUCAUGCAAUCGUUUGCAUGCUUGUUGCUUGAGGCACUCGAGGUCAUUUACGUACGGAUAUGUACAUUUAUGGACACGUGCAUAUAUGCAAAAUGAGUGUGUUUCCGCAUCUACAUACAUGUACGCGUAUGUCUUUUGAUCUAACGUACAUAUAUAUAUGUCAGUAUAUGCAUGUGUCUCCAUGUGGAAGUAGAGGUUUCCGAACAUCGACCUUUAGAUAUACAGUGCAUAUAACCAGCUGCGCGCGUCCAAUGGCGGCUUUUCUGAUAAAGGCUCAAAAUGAGUAUACGUAGUACGGAAAGUGUUCUUUCGGUGUACACGUAGACAUUUUGGGCUGUUCGAGGAUGCGGGGAAGGGCGGAGGCAUACACUCCCGCGAACUUUAACGUCGCAGAGAAUGGAGAAGAGAAAUGAGAAAACCCUGGAAAGCACAUCAAACCGUGUCAAACCAGCCGUCGCUCAUGCUGCAGUACAGCCAAAGCAUUUGACACUUUACUCGGGAG